UCUUGCCCUGCUCGCCGAGCACGAACGCGCGAAACCUCCCCUCGCCGCCGUCCCUGUCCGCUCGAGCUCGACCACCCCCACGCGGCAUGCUCCAGCAGCUCCGGCACCCACAACCAGGGCGGCGGGGCGUAGGAAUAGCCGGUAGCGGAGGUUCUUCCCUGGACCCCUCGGUGGUGGGUGAGCCCGACGGGGAGCCGCGCCACCACUGAACGCCGAUCCGGGAUGGAAGCAUUCACUUACGCGCCAGCCGCCAGACUGCAGAUGAAGACACUCCACCGAUGGAGAUGCUCUCGUUGAUGAUUGGUGAGUUGCUCUCGGAAGAGAAGUCGGAGUUCAGUGGGCAGACCUUCGGAGAGUACCUUCCAGCUGGUGUCCCUUCGAUCGCCCCCAUGCCCCAGCUUGGUUUCGGGUACAGAAGUUCUUCAAGUGUGACCUGUCUCACUUCUGUUCCUAAUUCACUGCAUUCGUGAAGCUCUUGCUUCUGCAGGCAGCUGGGCAUCAUUCGGUACCAGAUCACUUUGAGAUGGCGAGAAUAGCAGCACUGUACACGAUAAAUCUCUGGCUAGUUUACACCUAGGAAGGAUUGUGAAAGAUAUGGCUGAUGAUGCCAUCUAACUUGAGGCAUGUGGUCUCCUUCUGAAAAUAUAUACAUGUGGUCGUUUAUUAUUAUUUAUUAAAUUUACUUCUGAAUAUAGUCGAAAUCUUGUUAUGUGCAAACUAAAAAUAAUUGUCGAUUACUGAAACCUGUCUAUAAGCAUAUUUAAAAAGGAUGUGACAAUUUACUGAAACCAAGUAAGAAAAAAAAGAGUUCUUUUAUUUUUGAUAGCAACUUUUACUGAGGCAGGAAGGGGCACCAGUUUCAUUAAUUGAAACCAAUGAAGGGGAUAUCAAUCAGGUUACUGAGGCAAACUCAUAGAUGACAUGCAUUCUUCCUCCAUACUAUAUCGCCUACUGAAGUUGUCAUCAUCAGCAUUGGCAUUGUUCUGUUCCAUUGGUGUAUUGUUUUCCACAGUUUGCAUUACUUCAAGUUUUGUCUCAACUUGCCUCAUUGUAGGCCUAUAUUCACCCUUUAAACUUAAGCACAUGAGUGUUACUGCUGCAACUUCUUUGGCUUCUUCAGCCCCUUCCUCGAUGACUUGCUGGUCUAGCAUCUCAAAGAGUCUGUCUUGGUUAACUCGCAAGAUGAAUAAGCAGCUGAGUGCAGAUAAGCAAGGCAUCUUGAGGUUUCAAGGGCUAUUCUUUGCCAAUCUUUCCAAGGCACUGAUAGUGGAGUGCUGACAUGAAGAUGAUCAGAAAGAGUUCCAUUUGAAAUGAAUUCGUAGACCAACGAUGGAACUUCUGUCUGAAGGCAACAUCCAAAAAGCUUCCCUACAUUCCUGUGGUUCACUUGAGAAAGGAUGGCAACCUCAUUGAUGAAAUCAUAUGUUUCUCUCUGAAUUUCAACUUUUGACUUCUUGAUGGCAACAACACGUUUGUCAGAUAAAAUCCCUUUGUAGACAAUGCCGUGGCCUCCACCUCCAAGUUCUCGAGCCUCGUCAAACUUAUUUGUUGCCUUCUCAAGCUCUUCUAAGCUGAACAUCAUCCUUUCAGCGAUAUCCUUGUCCACAAGCUGCUGUAGCAACAACCCUCUGUUCUUUUUGAAGAAAAAAUCUCUUGACUUCCUUGCUUUCCAAACUAUGAGCUUUUGUCUUACAAUCAGAACACUGAGGCUUUGUUCGGUUGCAUUGGGUUUGAGGGGGGUUAAAAGGGAUUGUGAUGGAUUAAAUCCCCUGUAAAUCAAAUUCCUCACCAAUCCCUUUCAAACCUCUCCAAUCCCCUUGGGGAAAGGAUUAAACGAACAAGCCCUGAGGAUAAUUGUAAGAGUGCCUACACUACUGCCGAUUCCUACCGCAAUGGCAAAUCCUGGAGAAUACAUAAUCAAUUGGCUUGGGUCUAGAUUUUGAAUAAAUAAAC